rnacentral:rRNA from 1 species
AUGGCCACUUCAUCAGUCCUCCUCCCUGUGCUCCUCCUGGUGGCCGUCGCCGGCGCGGAGGCGGCGACCUUCACGGUGAUCAACAAGUGCCAGUACACGGUGUGGGCGGCGGCGGUGCCGGCCGGCGGGGGCAGGAAGCUGGACGCGGGGCAGACGUGGAGCAUAGACGUGCCGGCGGGCACGACGAGCGGGCGGGUGUGGGCGCGCACGGGGUGCAGCUUCGACGGCGCCGGCAACGGGCGGUGCCAGACGGGGGACUGCGGCGGGAAGCUGCAGUGCACGCAGUACGGGCAGGCGCCCAACACGCUGGCGGAGUUCGGGCUGAACAAGUACAUGGGCCAGGACUUCUUCGACAUCUCCCUCAUCGACGGGUUCAACGUGCCCAUGUCGUUCGUGCCAGCACCCGGCACCUCCGGGUGCCCCAAGGGCGGGCCGCGGUGCCCGAGGGUGAUCACGCCGCAGUGCCCCAGCGAGCUGCGGGCCGCCGGAGGGUGCAACAACGCGUGCACGGUGUUCAAGGAGGACCGGUACUGCUGCACAGGGUCGGCGGCCAACAACUGCGGGCCGACGGACUACUCGAGGUUCUUCAAGGGGCAGUGCUCCGACGCCUACAGCUACCCCAAGGACGACGCCACCAGCAUCUUCACCUGCCCCGGCGGCACCAACUACCAGGUCAUCUUCUGCCCAUGA